AGGGGACAUGCGGGACGCAUGGCAUGCACCAGUUGGCCCAGGAACACCUGCCGCCAUAACUGCGCUAGGAUCCGUCGGCUAUUUAAACCCCCUAAUCUCCCUUCAUGGCUUCAUCCUGUUGAUAGGACGGUACCUUUCUUUCACCUGAGAGCCUAGCUACUCAGCUACUUCCCUUGCACCAGUCUCCGCCUUCUUCAGCCCCCCACUUCUUCUCUGAGGGUUCCCACACCAUGUCUCCUACCCCGGAGGCCCUCCUUGAAGGGAUAUCUAGGGCUUGGAGGAAGGCGAGGAGGAGAACAGCGGCCGGUGAGGAUCCCCGUUGUUUCAAAGGAGGCUCAAGGAAGAAUUUCUUCAACAACAGGGGUUUAAUAACGGGGGCCGUCGGUAAAGUUAUUCUGCCCGAGAAUUUCGGAGUAGCAAGGUGGGGUGAUACCGG
rnacentral:lncRNA from 1 species